CCUACGGGAGGCAGCAGUGAGGAAUAUUGAUCAAUGGACGAGAGUCUGAACCAGCCAAGUAGCGUGAAGGAUGACUGCCCUAUGGGUUGUAAACUUCUUUUAUAUGGGAAUAAAAUGUUCCACGUGUGGGAUUUUGUAUGUACCAUAUGAAUAAGGAUCGGCUAACUCCGUGCCAGCAGCCGCGGUAAUACGGAGGAUCCGAGCGUUAUCCGGAUUUAUUGGGUUUAAAGGGAGCGUAGGUGGAUUGUUAAGUCAGUUGUGAAAGUUUGCGGCUCAACCGUAAAAUUGCAGUUGAAACUGGCAGUCUUGAGUACAGUAGAGGUGUGCGGAAUUCGUGGUGUAGCGGUGAAAUGCUUAGAUAUCACGAAGAACUCCGAUUGCGAAGGCAGUUCACUGGACUGCAACUGACACUGAGGCUCGAAAGUGUGGGUAUCAAACAGGAUUAGAUACCCCAGUAGUC
rnacentral:rRNA from 1 species